rnacentral:tRNA from 1 species
GGGCGUAUAGCUCAGUUGGUAGAGCGCCUGUCUUACACACAGGUGGUCAUAGGUUCGAGUCCUGUUGCGCCCAACA